GGGGUAUAGCUCAGUGGUCAGAGCAGCGGGCUCAUAACCUGUUGGUCCCUGGUUCAAGUCCAGGUACCCCC
rnacentral:tRNA from 1 species